GGGCCUUUAGCUCAGUUGGCCAGAGCACCUGACUCUUAAUCAGGGAGUCCUGGGUUCGAAUCCCAGAAGGCCCACCA
rnacentral:tRNA from 1 species